rnacentral:rRNA from 1 species
UACGAAGGGGGCUAGCGUUGUUCGGAAUUACUGGGCGUAAAGCGCGCGUAGGCGGUGAUCUUUGUCUGAGGUGAAAGCCUGGGGCUCAACUCCAGAAUUGCCUUUGAAACGGGAUCGCUUGAGUCCGAGAGAGGAUGGCGGAAUUCCUAGUGUAGAGGUGAAAUUCGUAGAUAUUAGGAAGAACACCGGUGGCGAAGGCGGCCAUCUGGCUCGGUACUGACGCUCAGGCGCGAAAGCGUGGGGAGCAAACAGG